rnacentral:rRNA from 1 species
AUUGAACGCUGGCGGCAUGCCUUACACAUGCAAGUCGAACGGCAGCGCGGACUUCGGUCUGGCGGCGAGUGGCGAACGGGUGAGUAAUGUAUCGGAACGUACCAUUCAGUGGGGGAUAACGCAGCGAAAGUUGCGCUAAUACCGCAUAUUCUGUGCGCAGGAAAGCAGGGAAUCGCAAGACCUUGCGCUGAUUGAGCGGCCGAUAUCAGAUUAGCUAGUUGGUGAGGUAAAGGCUCACCAAGGCGACGAUCUGUAGCGGGUCUGAGAGGAUGAUCCGCCACACUGGAACUGAGACACGGUCCAGACUCCGACGGGAGGCAGCAGUGGGGAAUUUUGGACAAUGGGCGCAAGCCUGAUCCAGCCAUGCCGCGUGAGUGAAGAAGGCCUUCGGGUUGUAAAGCUCUUUCGGCCGGGAAGAAAUCGUAUGGGUUAAUACCCUGUGCGGAUGACGGUACCAGCAUAAGAAGCACCGGCUAACUACGUGCCAGCCGCCGCAGUAACAC